rfam:Cavia porcellus supercont2_57 genomic scaffold, whole genome shotgun sequence.
UGGCGCCCAGCGUGGGGGCUCCUGGCACUGGGGAAUCAAUGAGGGAGCCAUUCGAGAAAGCCGGCUAAAAGUGAAAGCAAAUUGAACCAAAGACCAUGGCGAAAGGAAAAACAAAUUAAAUCAAGGAUCAAAGCUAAAAGCAAAAGGACAUUAAAUCAAGGUCGGAGGCCUGUGCGGAUGACUACCCUACAUGCCGCCCGAGUCACAGUGAGUGAAAGGCGACCCCAUUCCCUUUCCCGGACAUGGGUCAAGCAUUGAGCAAACACAAAUUGUUUGUGGGAGGCCUUAUAAAGGCAUUAAAGACAAGGGGGGUAAGGGCUAGAACAAAUGAAUUAUUGCAGUAUUUUCAAUUUAUUCAUAAGGUUUGCUCUU